AUUGAACGCUGGCGGAAUGCUUUACACAUGCAAGUCGAACGGCAGCACGGACUUCGGUCUGGUGGCGAGUGGCGAACGGGUGAGUAAUACAUCGGAACGUGCCCAGUCGUGGGGGAUAACGUAGCGAAAGCUACGCUAAUACCGCAUACGAUCUAAGGAUGAAACCGGGGGAUCGCAAGACCUCGCGCGAUUGGAGCGGCCGAUGGCAGAUUAGGUAGUUGGUGGGGUAAAGGCCUACCAAGCCGACGAUCUGUAGCUGGUCUGAGAGGACGACCAGCCACACUGGGACUGAGACACGGCCCAGACUCCUACGGGAGGCAGCAGUGGGGAAUUUUGGACAAUGGGCGCAAGCCUGAUCCAGCCAUUCCGCGUGCAGGAUGAAGGCCCUCGGGUUGUAAACUGCUUUUGUACGGAACGAAAAGGCUCUGGUUAAUACCCGGGGCUCAUGACGGUACCGUAAGAAUAAGCACCAGCUAACUACGUGCCAGCAGCCGCAGUAA
rnacentral:rRNA from 1 species